rnacentral:rRNA from 1 species
AUACGUAGGGGGCGAGCGUUGUCCGGAAUGAUUGGGCGUAAAGAGCUCGUAGGUGGUUUGUCGCGUCGUCUGUGAAAUUCCGGGGCUUAACUCCGGGCGUGCAGGCGAUACGGGCAUAACUUGAGUACUGUAGGGGAGACUGGAAUUCCUGGUGUAGCGGUGAAAUGCGCAGAUAUCAGGAGGAACACCGGUGGCGAAGGCGGGUCCCUGGGCAGUAACUGACGCUGAGGAGCGAAAGCAUGGGUAGCGAACAGGAUUAGAUACCCUGGUAGUCCAUGCCGUAAACGGUGGGCGCUAGGUGUAGGGGUCUUCCACGACUUCUGUGCCGUAGCUAACGCAUUAAGCGCCCCGCCUGGGGAGUACGGCCGCAAGGCUAAAACUCAAAGGGAUUGACGGGG